rnacentral:misc_RNA from 1 species
GCUAUAACUUGUACGAGUUAAUGAACUUAUUGCUUGUAUGAAAGUUGAUGAACUUAUAUGAGUUGAUAAAAGUUUUUAUACUUGUAUGAAAAAUUUCAACUAUUUUAUAUUAGUUGAUAAAUUUUUAAUACCUGUAUGAGAUUUUAGUAUCACACUUAUAUAAGUUCAAAAAUUGUAAUACUCGUACGAAAAUUUAGAACUUGUAUGAGUUUAUAAAAUUAGUACUUGUAUGAAAUAUUUAAACUUGUAUGAGUUGAUAAAUUUAAUACAUGUAUGAAGAAUUUUAAAUGAAUUUAUAGUACUACAUAUUAUUUAAUAUUUCCAUGCAAAGUUCUGUUUUGAUUGUGUUUUUAAUCCUGGUCUUG